UACGUAGGGACCAAGCGUUGUUCGGAUUUACUGGCGUAAAGGGCGCGUAGGCGGCUUUGACAAGUCACUUGUGAAAUCUUCGGGCUUAACUCGGAACGGCCAAGUGAAACUGUCAGUGCUAGAGUGCAGAAGGGGCAAUCGGAAUUCUUGGUGUAGCGGGUGAAAAUGCGUAGAUAUCAAGAGGAACACCUGAGGUGAAGACGGGUUGCUGGGCUGACACUGACGCUGGAGGCGACGGAAAGCCAGGGAGCAAACGGG
rnacentral:rRNA from 1 species